rnacentral:rRNA from 1 species
ACGCCCAUAGAACAUUGGAACCACCUGAUCCCAUCCCGAACUCAGAAUUGAAACGAUGUAUUGCAGAUUGUAGUGUGGGGUUUCCCCAUGUGAGAGUAGGUCAUCGUCAAGA